GACGAACGCUGGCGGCGUGGAUUAGGCAUGCAAGUCGAACGGUAGAAGACCUUUCGGGGUCUUUGAGAGUGGCGAACGGGUUAGUAACGCGUAGGUAAUCUACCCUCAAGCGGGGGACAACCCAGGGAAACCUGGGCUAAUACCGCAUGUGCCCAGUGAUGGGUAAAGGUGGCACGUAAGUGCUGUCGUUUGAGGAUGAGCCUGCGUCCUAUUAGCUGAUGGUGAGGUAAUGGCUUACCAUGGCGAUGAUAGGUAGGCGGCCUUAACGGGUGGUCGCCAACACUGGGAUUGAGAUACGGCCCAGACUCCUACGGGAGGCAG
rnacentral:rRNA from 1 species